rnacentral:rRNA from 1 species
UACGGAGGGUGCAAGCGUUAUCCGGAUUCACUGGGUUUAAAGGGUGCGUAGGCGGGCAUGUAAGUCCGUGGUGAAAUCUCCGAGCUUAACUCGGAAACUGCCAUGGAUACUAUGUGUCUUGAAUGUUGUGGGAGGUGAGCGGAAUAUGUCAUGUAGCGGUGAAAUGCUUAGAUAUGACAUAGAACACCAAUUGCGAAGGCAGCUCACUACACAAAUAUUGACGCUGAGGCACGAAGGCCAGGGGAGCAAACGGG